rnacentral:rRNA from 1 species
GUUGAACGCUGGCGGCAUGCUUUACACAUGCAAGUCGAACGGCAGCACAGGGAGCUUGCUCCUGGGUGACGAGUGGCGCACGGGUGAGUAAUACAUCGGAACGUGUCCUAUCGUGGGGGAUAACUGAGCGAAAGCUCGGCUAAUACCGCAUAAGACCUGAGGGUGAAAGUGGGGGAUCGAAAGACCUCAUGCGAUUGGAGCGGCCGAUGCCCGAUUAGCUAGUUGGUGAGGUAAAAGGCUCACCCAAGGCGACGAUCGGUAGCUGGUCUGAGAGGACGACCAGCCACACUGGGACUGAGACACGGGCCCAGACUCCUACGGGAGGCAGCAGUGGGGAAUUUUUGGACAAUGGGGGCAACCCUGAUCCAGCCAUGCCGCGUGCAGGAUGAAGGGUCUUCGGAUUGUAAACUGCUUUUGCUAGGGAAGAAAAGGGUGCGUGCUAAAUACCACGCACUGCUGACGGUACCU